rnacentral:lncRNA from 1 species
ACCUUUUGGCUUCAAAUGUGACUGGUGCCACCUAUGAUAUAACGAGAUGGAGAAAGAGAAGUAGAAAAGGAAGAAGAAAAGAGGAGGGCCCAAAGCCUCUCCGACGAAACCCGAUGUCUCUUCCAUGCAUGUACCCACUGGAUCGGUGCCCCUGAAGCCACUGAAACAUGGCACGUCUUCCCCAUGCUGUUGCACACAUAUUCGGCAGGUUUGGUGGCCUUGGGGCCCUCUGCAUGCGCCUCCACAAGUUUUUGCCGAUGCCAGAGCUAGGACUGGAGGCUUUAAGCCACUUCUGCAUGCACGUGUGCUCUCGUCAACACCAGAAC